rnacentral:tRNA from 1 species
CAGUGUUUAGUCUAGUGGUAUGAUUCUCGCUUUGGGUGCGAGAGGUCGCUAGUUCAUUUCUCACAUCGCCCC